rnacentral:rRNA from 1 species
UUGGAGGGCAAGUCUGGUGCCAGCAGCCGCGGUAAUUCCAGCUCCAAUAGCGUAUAUUAAAGUUGUUGCAGUUAAAAAGCUCGUAGUUGAAUUUCGGGAUCAAUUUAUUGGUCGUACCAACGGUACGCACUGGUACAAUUGGUUUCUCCCUUCUGACGAAGCAUGAUGUCAUUAAUUUGAUGUCGUGGGGAAUCAGGACUGUUACUUUGAAAAAAUUAGAGUGUUUAAAGCAGGCUUUGGCUUGAAUACAUUAGCAUGGAAUAAUGAAAUAGGACGUUUGAUCUUAUUUCGUUGGUUUCUAAGAUCGACGUAAUGAUUAAUAGGGAUAGUUGGGGGCAUUAGUAUUCAAUUGUCAGAGGUGAAAUUCUUGGAUUUAUUGAAGACUAACUACUGCGAAAGCAUUUGCCAAGGAUGUUUUCAUUAAUCAAGAACGAAAGUUAGGGGAUCGAAGACGAUCAGAUACCGUCGUAGUCUUAACCAUAAACUAUGCCGACUAGGGAUCGGAUGAUGUUAAUUUUUUAAUGACUCAUUCGGCGCCUUACGGGAAA